GACGAACGCUGGCGGCGUGCUUAACACAUGCAAGUCGAACGGAAAGGCCCUGCUUUUGUGUGGUUCUCGAUUGGCGAACGGGGGAGUAACACGUGAGUAACCUGCCCUUGACUUUGGGAUAACUUCAGGAAACUGGGGCUAAUACCGGAUAGGAUCUCCUGCUGCAUGGGGGGGGUUGGAAAGUUUCGGCGGUUGGGGAUGGACUCGCGGCUUAUCAGCUUGUUGGUGGGGUAGUGGCUUACCAAGGCUUUGACGGGUAGCCGGCCUGAGAGGGUGACCGGCCACAUUGGGACUGAGAUACGGCCCAGAAUCCUACGGGAGGCAGCAGUGGGGAAUAUUGCACAAUGGGCGGAAGCCUGAUGCAGCAACGCCGCGUGCGGGAUGACGGCCUUCGGGUUGUAAACAGCUUUCGACUGUGACGAAGCGUGAGUGACGGUAAUGGGUAAAGAAGCACCGGCUAACUACGUG
rnacentral:rRNA from 1 species